rnacentral:lncRNA from 1 species
GAAAUAAUGUAGCUUGUCUUGGGGUUAUUCACCUGAGGAUGACCUGUCCUCUGUGAUUAGUAGGUGAGACCUGGAAAGCCUGCAUAAGUGGCUUUGCCACUCUUCUGUAGCUGAAGGCACCCAGUACCAAGCACAUGUGGAAAGUGGAAAGGCCGGGCAGUUCUGGAACGCACUUGCCUGAAAGGCUCUGUGGUGGGAAAGAUUUUGAGUGCGUACGUAAGAAAUCAAGAGGGUUCUUUUCACCUGAAAAUAUGCCCGACUUGAAUCUAGGAGAGUGUUUCUGUUGAGUAUGGACCAAAGGGGCAGGACACGAGGACUUUUCUGGGAUCUGUCAAGUGGGGGUGUGCUUUUUAUCUCCUUGUUGAACCCCAUUGAAUUGCUGGGGCUUUGGAAGGGGUGCUUGUCUCUGGCAGCUAAGUCAGGGCUUCCAUGUCGGUGUGGAGGUCGCCUCAGUAGCAGUCAGCUUAGCUAGUGGCUGGGUCACCUGGAUAUUGAACCUUCGGUGACCUUACUUUUAUAGUAAUGCUCUCCAUAAUUUUUUUAGCAUUUUAUUUUAUGAGAAGUUUAUGAAGAUUUCUGCAUGAAUCAGUGUGAACAGAAGGUUUCUCAUUCCCAGUGUCCAUGAACAUAGAAUAUUUAUGGAUGAGUAUGUUUAAUUGCUUCGUGAGCACUUAAGAGAGAGUGCGUGUGUGUGACUGGGGUGUGCGUGCGUGUGUGUGUGUGUGUGUGUGUGUGUGUGUGUGUGUGUGUGUGUGUGUGUACGCGCACGCGCGCAUGCGAAUGCAUCGGGGGAGGGUAGCCCAAGAAAGCACACACUGCACAGAGAUAGAAACCUUUGCUGUGGCACAUAGCUUGCAUCGUGCUUCUGUGUGGGAUCCCACCCCUGUGGUGGAUGGUGUGCAGUGCUGGGAGUGUUCCAGUCUCCCAGACUCCAUAGACAGAAGGUGGUGUCCAGUGAAUAAUCACGAUCAUUGGGACAAAGGUACCUGUGAUUUUUGCAUGUGUUUGAAAAAGUCUACUCGCCCACUCUCAACUGAGCAUAGCUGUCCCCUGCCUGGAAACUCCGCAGGGAGCUCCCAAGUCUUUGGACCUACCUGCAGCUGCACACAGUGUGUGCUUCCACAGGCCCUGGGUUCUCAGGAGAAAGAAGAGCGGGGUUUCUGCCCUCCUGCUGAUCACAUCAGCCUCACACACUUGCUCUGGGACUGUGUAAAUGGAAUGACUAUCAACACCUCUGAUUGAUAAAACCCGUCUGUGUGUAGAUCUUUUCUGUCGUGAAGCCGUCAGGUCAUUGCUGUGGAGUCUGCUGGUGAAAGAUCUUAGUGAAAACCUGAGCACAUGGAUGGCAGUAAACUGUCACAGGUGGUGACUUUAAAAACAUUCAGUUCUAGGAAACUUAAGGAACAGAAUUGGCUCAGUACAGACACCCCAAAACAUUGAGAACAUUCCAAGAAAGUGCUUUUUCUGUGUAUGACAUUCCUGACGAGAGGUCAUCAGCUGAGUCGACAGGCAGGCAGGUCUGAUACUCACUGACCUCACUGCUAAGGAUGCGUGGAUGGAUGCAUGCAUGCAUGGGUGGAUGGAUGCGUGGAUGGAUGGAUGGAUGGAUGCAUGCAUGGAUGCGUGGAUGGAUGCGUGGAUGCGUGGAUGGAUGCAUGGAUGCGUGGAUGGAUGCGUGGAUGGAUGGAUGCAUGGAUGGAUGCGUGGAUGCAUGGAUGUGUGGAUGGAUGCGUGGAUGGAUGCAUGGAUGGAUGGAGUAUAUAAAGUUUAUUUUCUGUUCCUUCCCUUAGGCUGGGGAGCUUUGUUCCUCUGCUGCUGCUGUUUGCAGUUUAAGGUUGUGGAGUACUGAACCUGUGAGCUCCUUGUCUCAGGAGAAGUAAGCCCACCGUCAGGAUUAGGCCAGUGAGGCUGCCGGCAUGGAAGCGGCCUCUGGAGCUGUUGUCUCUUGUGGUCUUCCUUGGGAGACCUGUUGAGCGGCUGUUGGCCUGCCAGUUGCCAUUCUGGGGGUAGCGGCUUCUGAGUGUUUUGCAGAGGCAGUGUUUUCAGCAGGCGGGGAGGUCCCCAGUUCUGGAUUGGUUGUCGAGUGUCCUGCCUUCCCUCAGCCGUACAUCUGGUGUCUUACUGUAUCUGGAUUUGUUCUGAUGUGGCAGAGGGCUGAAGGAGCAGACUGGAUGGUUUAUGUACAGUAAGAGGAAAAUCGUUCUCGGGGAAACUGGAACUCACUGGCUUCUGACUUGGGCCUUUAAGUAUGCCUGGGGUUGGGAGAGGUUGGCCAAGCACCAGCCUCAAACAUUGGGGCUGCUUCAGACUUCCUCAGUUCCCCUUCAGAAUAUAUUGGAGUAUAGUAUUACUGUGGGGCCACCUCCUCCCAGCAGCUGACAUCUGUACUUGUGUACCUGGCACUACCGAGUGGCACAGGACCUCCCAGGGUGUGGUCGCAAUUGUGGCAGCUACUGCCCUUUGUCCUGGUGCUUUCUGAGGGUUGUGGAGGGCAGGAGUGCAGCAGAGCUUACUCUCAUGUCCAGCCACCCCAGGUCUUUAUCUCUGGAGUUGCUUACUCCUGCCCAGUUUUCUGUGUUUGAUGGACUGAUUGAUGAUGUUGUCUCGUAGGAACAGUAACAUUAAUUCCCCACGUCUUAAAGGAUUCUUCUCUCGUCCCUACCCCUCCCUGUUCACUGACAACCAGAAAGCCGGUGGAGUAAGUCUGACUAGCAUUAGGGCAUGGGAGGCAGCAGCUUUUCUGUUCAGGGACUGCAGUGGCUAUACAUGAGAUGUGUAGGGCCCGGUGGGUACACAGGCAGUUCCCGGGGAAGGGCAGUGGGUGGGUCUGGUGAAGACUAGGCAGUCAGACUGGGGGACUGGCUUCCAGGGGGGUUAUUGUGGCAGCUGGAGGCCCCAAGGAGCCUGAUAGGCUGUGAACAGAAAAGGUUCUUUUUUUAAACUUUUGUUUUUAAAUACUUUUUUACACUGUUGUUGGUACUUUUUUUUAUGCUUAAGUCAGCAUUGUCUUCCAGUGUUAAAGGCAUCCCUUGCCUCUUCGUGGACCUUACGUGUCAAUUCAAAGGAACGGGCAGACUGUCCAUCCCGAGCCAGUUCAAUUAGAUGUAAAUUCAUACUGUUUUAAUUUUUUAUGCAAUCUGAUGAGUAGAUGAGCUCAGAUUUAAAAUCCUUAAAAGCACGUUUAUUGUAACCAGAAUUGUUAUGUAAUUAAUACUGCAGUUUUCAAUAAAGAUUGACUUGUGUUGCAUAUUCUGAUCUUUUCAUGGAGUUUUGUCAGAGGUGACAGUCUGACUGGCACUUGCUGCCACUUCUCCUAGUGAAUCCCUAGGCGAUUGGGACAAGGCUGUGUGUCCUGCCCCUGGCCAGUUCUGGCGGAGGGAGGGUCCUCCUAAGUGCU